rnacentral:tRNA from 1 species
GGGCAUGUAGCGUAGGGGUUAUCGCGUUCGCUUUGCAUUCACGACAUUGCGAAAGGUCUCCGGUUCAAAUCCGGACUUGUCCA